rnacentral:rRNA from 1 species
AGUAACACGUGGAUAACCUACCUAUAAGACUGGGAUAACUUCGGGAAACCGUAGCUAAUACCGGAUGAUAUUUUGAACCGCAUGGUUCAAAAGUGAAAGACGGUCUUGCUGUCACUUAUAGAUGGAUCCGCGCUGCAUUAGCUAGUUGGUAAGGUAACGGCUUACCAAGGCAACGAUGCAUAGCCGACCUGAGAGGGUGAUCGGCAACACUGGAACUGAGACACGGUCCAG